rnacentral:rRNA from 1 species
UAAUACGUAGGGGGCCAGCGUUGUCCGGAUUCAUUGGGCGUAAAGCGCGUGUAGGCGGCCGUACAGGUCCGGUGUGAAAACUCGAGGCUCAACCUCGAGAGGUCAUCGGAAACCGUACGGCUAGAGUCCGGAAGAGGAGAGUGGAAUUCCUGGUGUAGCGGUGAAAUGCGCAGAUAUCAGGAAGAACACCCAUGGCGAAGGCAGCUCUCUGGGACGGUACUGACGCUGAGACGCGAAAGCGUGGGGAGCGAACAGGAUUAGAUACCCUGGUAGUCCACGCCGUAAACGAUGGGUGCUAGGUGUGGGUGGUGUCGACUCCAUCCGUGCCGAAGCUAACGCAUUAAGCACCCCGCCUGGGGAGUACGGCCGCAAGGCUA